rnacentral:lncRNA from 1 species
UACAAGACAGACUUAUGUUCUAUACUAGAAACUUGAGAUUUUACAUUACCACAUAUUUUCCAACUGAUAGAACAACAAGUAGACAUAAGUCGGAGCCCUCACAAUUCCUUAUAACAUUUAUACAUGGUUAUAAACUCUAUAAACCAAAUGAGUUUCAAUUAGAAUUAGCUAUCAAAUUCAUGAAUAUGCCAUGUUAGAGAAAAGACAUUGUUACUCACUUUUAACUUGAUGCACGAAUGAAAAGAAUUAAAAGGACCAAGGGUACCUAGUAAUUAGUUACAUGCAAAAUAAUUGCAGCUAGGAGCCAUUCAAAGAAUUCCUUUCAUGUAUGCGUUUUUUUCCUCUGCUGCAUUUUCCAUUGACCUCAUACCCUCUCUUGAAACGGUUACUGCUUUGCUCCGGCACUCUAAAGUGGUGUUAUAUUUUAUUAGGGUUAUUUCUUAAAAGAUUUAUCACUUAUAUAGCACAGGAAAAUAACUGAUGCUUCUUAAUAGGAACACAUGUUUGACUUUUCUACUACUCUUCCUAUUAUUAUAUUUAUACUCAAAAUACACAUUAGUAUAUAAUACAUACUAAUGUGUUCUAGU